rnacentral:rRNA from 1 species
UGUCUUGUAAUUGGAAUGAUGGGAAUUUAAACCUCUUCCAGAGUAUCAAUUGGAGGGCAAGUCUGGUGCCAGCAGCCGCGGUAAUUCCAGCUCCAAUAGCGUAUAUUAAAAUUGUUGCAGUUAAAAAGCUCGUAGUUGAAUUUCUGCUGUAUUGCAUUUUCUCUUUUUAUAUGAGUUUUUGCAUUAUGGCUUAUUUCAGUAUUAAUUUUUUAUUAUUACUGAAUGUUUACUUUGAGAAAAUUAGAGUGCUCAAAGCAGGCUUUUGCCUUGAAUAGUUUAGCAUGGAAUAAUAAAGUAGGACUUUGGUUCUAUUUUGUUGGUUUUAGGUACCAAAGUAAUGGUUAAUAGGAACAGUUGGGGGCAUUCGUAUUUAACUGUCAGAGGUGAAAUUCUUAGAUUUGUUAAAGACGAACUACUGCGAAAGCAUUUGCCAAGGAUGUUUUCAUUAAUCAAGAACGAAAGUUAGGGGAUCGAAGACGAUCAGAUACCGUCGUAGUCCUAACCAUAAACUA